GACGAACGCUGGCGGCGUGCCUAACACAUGCAAGUCGAGCGAAUGAAGUUCCUUCGGGAAUGGAUUUAGCGGCGGACGGGUGAGUAACACGUAGGCAACCUGCCUCAUAGAGGGGAAUAGCCUUCCGAAAGGGAGAUUAAUACCGCAUAAGAUUGUAGUAUCGCAUGAUACAGCAAUUAAAGGAGCAAUCCGCUAUGAGAUGGGCCCGCGGCGCAUUAGCUAGUUGGUGAGGUAACGGCUCACCAAGGCGACGAUGCGUAGCCGACCUGAGAGGGUGAUCGGCCACAUUGGGACUGAGACACGGCCCAGACUCCUACGGGAGGCAGCAGUGGGGAAUAUUGCACAAUGGGGGAAACCCUGAUGCAGCAACGCCGCGUGAGUGAUGACGGCCUUCGGGUUGUAAAGCUCUGUCUUCAGGGACGAUAAUGACGGUACCUGAGGAGGAAGCCACGGCUAACUACGUG
rnacentral:rRNA from 1 species